rnacentral:rRNA from 1 species
UACAGAGGGUGCGAGCGUUAAUCGGAAUUACUGGGCGUAAAGCGUGCGUAGACGGUUAUUUAAGUCGGGUGUGAAAGCCCCGGGCUCAACCUGGGAAUUGCAUUCGAGACUGAAUAGCUAGGGUACGGUAGAGGGAAGCGGAAUUUCCGGUGUAGCGGUGAAAUGCGUAGAUAUUGGAAGGAACAUCAGUGGCGAAAGCGGCUUCCUGGACCAGUACCGACGUUCAGGCACGAAAGCGUGGGGAGCAAACAGG